AAUCAACGCUGGCGGCGUGCCUCAGACAUGCAAGUCGAACGCGAAAGUUUCCUUCGGGAGACAAGUAGAGUGGCGCACGGGUGAGUAACACGUAGGUAAUCUACCUUUGGAUGGGGAAUAACAACCGGAAACGGUUGCUAAUACCGCAUAAUGCAGCGGCACCUAAUGGUGACAGUUGUUAAAGCGGGGGAUCGAAAGACCUCGCGUCUGAAGAGGAGCCUGCGGCGGAUUAGCAGUUGGUAAGGUAAUGGCUUACCAAGGCUACGAUCCGUAACCGGCCUGAGAGGGCGGUCGGUCACACUGACACUGACAUACGGGUCAGACUCUACGGGAGCAGCAGUCGGGAAUUUGGGCAAUGGGCGAAAGCCUGACCCAGCAACG
rnacentral:rRNA from 1 species